GAUGAACGCUGGCGGCGUGCUUAACACAUGCAAGUCGAACGAUGAAGCCCAGCUUGCUGGGUGGAUUAGUGGCGAACGGGUGAGUAACACGUGAGUAACCUGCCCUUAAUUCUGGGAUAAGCCUGGGAAACUGGGUCUAUUACCGGAUAGGAGCGUCCACCGCAUGGUGGGUGUUGGAAAGAUUUAUCGGUUUUGGAUGGACUCGCGGCCUAUCAGCUUGUUGGUGAGGUAAUGGCUCACCAAGGCGACGACGGGUAGCCGGCCUGAGAGGGUGACCGGCCACACUGGGACUGAGACACGGCCCAGACUCCUACGGGAGGCAGCAGUGGGGAAUAUUGCACAAUGGGCGAAAGCCUGAUGCAGCGACGCCGCGUGAGGGAUGACGGCCUUCGGGUUGUAAACCUCUUUCAGUAGGGAAGAAGCGAAAGUGACGGUACCUGCAGAAGAAGCACCGGCUAACUACGUG
rnacentral:rRNA from 1 species